CCUUCCUGUAGUAACAGCCGCCGCUGCCGCCGCCGCCAGGAGCCCCGGCCGGGAGCGAGAGCCGCGGGGAGCAGAGCCGGCCUGGCUGCCGGACUGCGCGGCCCCACCAGGUGAACGGCCAUGGCGGGCUGGAUCCAGGCCCAGCAGCUGCAGGGAGACGCGCUGCGCCAGAUGCAGGUGCUGUACGGCCAGCACUUCCCCAUCGAGGUCCGGCACUACUUGGCCCAGUGGAUUGAGAGCCAGCCAUGGGAUGCCAUUGACUUGGACAAUCCCCAGGACAGAGCCCAAGCCACCCAGCUCCUGGAGGGCCUGGUGCAGGAGCUGCAGAAGAAGGCGGAGCACCAGGUGGGGGAAGAUGGGUUUUUACUGAAGAUCAAGCUGGGGCACUAUGCCACGCAGCUCCAGGUGGGUGUAGGCACUGGGCCACCUACGGGGAGGCAGCAUCAUCUUGUUCCAGCAUCAGAAUCCCUGGGUUUUUUCCUGGCCUGGCCACUGACUCACCAUGUGACCACGAACUUAUUGGGAACUUUUCUUCGAUUUCCCCCACCCCCUCUUUCUAAAU
rnacentral:sRNA from 1 species